GGAUGGUAACAGAGUUUGAUUCUGGCUCAGAUUGAACGCUGGCGGGAUGCUUUACAUGCAAGUCGAACGGCAGCACGGACUUCGGUCUGGUGGCGAGUGGCGAACGGGUGAGUAAUGUAUCAAGGAACGUGCCUAGUAGCGGGGGAUAACUACGCGAAAGCGCUUCAUCUGCAUACGCCCUUCGAAGGGGAAAGCGGGGACCUUCGGGCCUCGCACUAGAGCGGCCGAUAUCGGAUUAGCUAGUUGGUGGGGUAACGACUCUGGAGGCGACGAUCCAUGGGCAGCUGGUUUGAGAGGACGACCAGCCACACUGGGACUGAGACACGGCCCAGACUCCUACAGGAGGCAGCAGUGGGGAAUUUUGGACAAUGGGGAAACCUGAUCCAGCCAUCCCGCGUGUGCGAUGAAGGCCUUCCGGGUUGUAAAGCACUUUUGGCAGGAAAAAACAGCACGGGAUAGCCCCGUGCAACUGACGAAACACCUGCAGAAUAAGCACCGGCUAACUACGUGCCAGCAGCCGCGGUAAUACGUAGGGUGCAAGCGUUAAUCGGAAUUACUGGGCGUAAAGCGUGGAGCGGUUCGGAAAGAAGAUGUGAAAUCCCAGAGCUUAACUUUGGAACUGCAUUUUUAACUACCGAGCUAGAGUGUGUCAAAGAGGGAGGUGGAAUUCCGCGUGUAGCAGUGAAAUGCGUAGAUAUGCGGAGGAACACCGAUGGCGAAAACAGCCUCCUGGGAUAACACUGACGCUCAUGCACAGCGUGGGGAGCAAACAGGAUUAGAUACCCUGGUAGUCCACGCCUAAACGAUGUCAACUGACUGUUGGGGCCUUCGGGCCUUGGUAGCGCAGCUAACGUGAAGUUGACCGCCUGGGGAGUACGGUCGCAAGAUUAGAACUCAAAGGAAUUGACGGGGACCCGCACAAGCGGUGGAUGAUGUGGAUUAAUUCCGUGCAACGCGAAGAAAAACCUUACCUACCCUUGACAUGUCUGGAAUCCCGAAGAGAUUUGGGAGUGCUCGCAAGAGAACCGGAACACAGGUGCUGCAUGGCUGUCGUCAGCUCGUGUCGUGAGAUGUUGGGUUAAGUCCCGCAACGAGCGCAACCCUUGUCAUUAGUUGCUACGAAGGGCACUCUAAUGAGACUGCCGGUGACAAACCGGAGGAAGAGGAACAGGGAUGACGUCAAGUCCUCAUGGCCCUUAUGGGUAGGGCUUCACACGUCAUACAAUGGUCGGGACAGAGGGUCGCCAACCCGCGAGGGAGCCAAUCCAAAGCCCGAUCGUAGUCCGGAUCGCAGUCUGCAAGCUCGACUGCGUGAAGUCGGAAUCGCUAGUAAUCGCGGAUCAGCAUGUCGCGGUGAAUACGUUCCCGGGUCUUGUAUGCCGCCCGUCACACCAUGGGAGUGGGUUUUACCGUCGUUAGCUAAACGUAAGGAGGGCGAUUACCACACGCAGUAGGAUUCAUGACUGGGGUGAAGUCGUAACAAGGUAA
rnacentral:rRNA from 1 species